AAAGCAUGGUGAGGGCAUUUCUUAAGCAAUUUAUUAAAUCUCUCCCAACUCUCAUAAAUCAAUUCUCCUUCAAAUUGGGUAAAAGAAGUGAUAUUAUUUAUAAGUUU